rnacentral:rRNA from 1 species
UACGUAGGGGGCUAGCGUUGUCCGGAAUCAUUGGGCGUAAAGCGCGCGUAGGCGGCCCGAUAAGUCUGCUGUGAAAGUCCAGGGCUCAACCCUGGAAUGCCGGCGGAUACUGUCGGGCUAGAGUCCGGAAGAGGCGAGUGGAAUUCCUGGUGUAGCGGUGAAAUGCGCAGAUAUCAGGAGGAACACCCGUAGCGAAGGCGGCGCUCUGGGCCGGUACUGACGCUGAGGAGCGAAAGCGUGGGGAGCAAACAGG